GAGAAAGGAAAGAAUAGAAAAGGUACUGAACUCCAGGUCCAAGUCAAUCAUCUUUGCUUCUCUCACAUUGUCAUCGACAUUUACCCCAGCAUUAUCCUCAUCGCUUCAUCACUACUGCCACCCCAACCAAUCUGCCUCCUCUGUAUAAGGCUGGAAGACAGAGAUCCACCAGGCUCUCAAUUGAAAGCCCUGGAGGGCUACACCCUAAGAACAGAAGUGAAUCGGAGGUACACUUAGCAAAACUGAAACCAGCUUCUGAUUCAGAAUAAUCUCUGACUCGAUUGAGGUGAUCAAAGGCUAUUCUACCUGCCCAACAGAAGAAAAAGGGAACACUUUCGGUGGAAGGCAAUAUCAUCUGGACCCUUUAUGGUUUUAUUAUACAUAAUGUCUAACAUUUUUUAAAUUACUAGAUGUGGAAGAUCAAGUUCAUUUGCCCAAUAAUCAAGAGAAAAAAACACACACAAUAGAAACACAAUUAUAGAUGAUCAAGAUAUUGUAAUCAGCAAAUGAGAAUUUACAAAUAAUUUUUAUGAAUAUGUUUAAGAAAAUAAA
ensembl:lncRNA novel transcript